rnacentral:lncRNA from 1 species
CUUGCCUCAACCUCCUAUUUUCUAUUAGAUCCUGCAUUGAAGUACAUAUAUGAGUAUUAGAAUCAAAGUCCAAUACCGAACUAGAAGUAGAAGAAACCGUUCGAUUAGAUUCUAUUAUGAGCAUACCAUUAGAAGGUUGUUUACUUUUUUUCAUCUUUAGGCUCUCCAAGUAAGAUGGACAGUUUCUCCUCCAAUGGUCGUCGGAGCUGC